CAGAGUUCAUGCCCUCACGGGUAGAUCUCCCACCCUUUGAUAUCUUUACCUUUGUUGCUUUGGCAGGUCGCGGCCUCCGCUGCUGGCCAUUGGCUAGUAUGUACCUGCCAGAGGACCCAACUCUUGAUAUUAGUGAUGUCUGAGUACUAUAUAAUAGUUA
rnacentral:misc_RNA from 2 species